rnacentral:rRNA from 1 species
UACAGGGGUGGCAAGCGUUGUUCGGAAUUACUGGGCGUAAAGGGCGCGUAGGCGGCCUUCUAAGUCAGACGUGAAAUCCCCCGGCUUAACCUGGGAACUGCGUCUGAUACUGGAGGGCUUGAGUAUGGGAGAGGGAUGUAGAAUUCCAGGUGUAGCGGUGAAAUGCGUAGAUAUCUGGAGGAAUACCGGUGGCGAAGGCGGCAUCCUGGACCAUUACUGACGCUGAGGCGCGAAAGCUAGGGGAGCAAACGGG